GACAGGCGUUUGGAUGAUCGACCAACGGUGAUCGAUUAUGGUUAUAAUCUGUGAGCGUUAAUAGUGAUCCGUGGCAAUCGAUAUGUUUGUGUUAACUACGCUGUAGGUCACCUGUGAUGUACAUCAGUAUGUUGAAAAUUGUCAUUAUGUCCUGUAUGUUACUAAAAUAUGUUGAUUACGGUAUUUGACACAACUUUCUGAAAAUUGUAUAUGAAGUUUGUGUAUAUUGUAGAUAAGUUAACUUGAAGUAAUAACCAUAACACAUGGAGUAUACUGUUGCUUCUAAAAUACAUUUCAAGAGUCUGUGUCGUCUCUGUGAGAUAAUUAGUGAUUGUGCACGUAAUAAGAAGGAAGAAUACCUCAAAAAAUACAUCAACUACUUUCAUGAAUAUUCCAAGAAUUUAAAACAGGAAUCACCAUUAUUGGAUGACAGUUUUUAUCCCUUCCUGAGACUACUGCUGCCACAACUAGACCGAGAACGUGGUGCAUAUGGCAUAAAGGAACAUAACUUGGCCAAGGUCUACAUUCGUGUCCUUGGCCUCCCUAAGGAAGGACAUGAUGCAUCAAAACUACUCAAUUUUAGGACUCCUAAAACUGCAGGCAGCGGUGCAGGUGACUUUGCGGAAGUGGCUUUCUGGGUUCUGAAGAGUCGUUGUCCUGAAGGAGGAAAUCUAAGUGUGGAACAAAUAAAUGUUCAUCUUGAUAACAUAGCACUGAAGCAUGCAGCUCAUGACCCAAGAGGAGUUGAUGCUGAGCUUGUUGCGAUGCUAACUUCUAUGUCUGCGGCAGAACAGAAGUGGUUGAUACGGAUGUUGUUAAAGGACAUGAAGUUGGGCUUGGGUCAGAGCCGUAUUUUUCAUAUAUAUCAUCCGGAUGCCCUGGAGCUGUAUGAUGUUUCUAACAGUCUUCUUAAGGUGUGCCAGCUGCUACGCGAUCCAAACAUCCGUUUGCAUGAAGUGGAAGUUUCAUUGUUCUCACCAUUUCGACCAAUGCUAGCAGAACGUUGUAAUGUGCAAACUAUAGAAGAAUCUAUGAAGAAAAGUCAGUUUUAUUAUGUAGAAACUAAAUAUGAUGGUGAAAGGUUCCAGUUGCAUAUGGAAAAUGGAGUCUUCAAGUAUUUCUCCCGGAAUGGUUAUGAGUAUACAGAUGUGUAUGUCACACUCCUGACAUCUCAUGUUUCAAAAUUACUGCGAGCUGAUACAAAGAAUUGCAUACUGGAUGGAGAAAUGAUGGGCUGGAACAAAAAUUUGAAAUGCUAUAAAUAUAAAGGUACCAAUUUUGAUGUCAAGUGCUUAAAGGAAGGGGACUGCAUUCGUCCAUGUUUGUGUGUGUUUGAUGUCUUGUUGUAUAAUGGUCAAGUACUCACCAACAAGCCACUGUCUGAGCGACUCCAUUAUCUAAAGAAUCUCUUCACACCUUCUGAGGGGAUCUUCAUGCAUGCAGAACGCAAGGAAGUAACAACUGGGCAAGAAGUAAUACAUGAACUAAACCUGGCAAUUGAUAACAGGUUAGAAGGAAUUGUACUGAAGGAUCCAACAUCAAUUUACAAACCUAACAUGAGGAAAGGAGGCUGGUAUAAAAUCAAACCUGAGUACACGGAAGGUUUAAUGGACCAUCUGGACCUUAUUAUUAUGGGUGGUUACUUUGGAGAAGGGCGGAGGAAGGGUAUUAGUCAUUUUCUUGUUGGAGCUGCUGUGCCGCCACCUAUUGAAGAUAUGGAACCAGUGGAGUUUCAUUCUGUCGCACGUGUGGGCUCAGGCUACUCUGCGGAUGAGUUAUCAGAACUACUACAGAAGCUGUCACUUCACUGGCAGCGUGUGACUCCAGGUCAGUGUCCACCUGCUCUUGUAUGGACCAAAGAAAAGCCAGAUGUAUGGAUUGCUCCACAAAAUUCUUAUAUACUGGAGGUUAAAGCAUCCGAGAUCGUACAGAGCUCUUCAUACAAAGUUGACUAUACACUUCGAUUUCCUCGUGUCGAAACUAUCCGCUAUGACAAAAAGUGGUCUGACUGCAUGACUAUCAUAGAUUUUGACAGUUUAAGGAAGGAGGCAUCUGGGAAACUGUACUCUAGACAUGUUGAUGCCAGUGAUCAGUUGUCAGAAUCACCGAAAAAGAAGGUACGGCAACUGAAGAAAAUACCCAUUACCUUAGGUGAACAGUUUUGUGGUAUUGACGUAUCUGAAGUCAAUGUGACAUCGAACUCGUUAGAAGCAAAGGUGUUUUGUGUGUUAACUGGCUGUCAAGAUCAUACAAAACAAGACAUAGAGACCAAAAUCAUACAGAACGGAGGCACAGUUGUGCAAAACACAGGACAUAACACAUUCUGUGCUCUGGCUGGAGACUCCACACUUCGUGUGCGCAACAUUGCUAAGAGUGGACAGUGCAGUGUUGCCCGUGUAGACUGGCUUCUGCGCUCAAUAGCUGCUAAUAUGUUAUUGCCCUGGACUCCUGCUGACCUUUUAUAUGCAACACCAACAGUAAGCGAACAGCUCUCUGUUGAAUUUGAUAAGUUUGGAGACAGCUACACGCAACCGCUGACUGAAGAGUCACUGAAGUAUGUUCUUGAACAAGUUGAAAAAAGUGGUUGUGUUAUGGACCUUACUGAAGAAAUGUUAGCAGAUCUUGAAAUAGAACUGUUUCGUGGACCCAGUCCUUAUGGCCUCUUCCGUUUGUGUCGGUCAUAUGUGGACAAAUACUUCACGUUAAAUGAUCCUUUGUCAGGUGAAAGCAAAGAGUUGGAUAUUGUGGAACUUGACUUUAGUUUCUAUGGAGGUCAGGUUUUUUCACAUAUAGAUGAGCAGACUACCCAUGUGAUUAUACAUUCUCAGUCAAAGGAUAGACUUGAUGAGAUUAAACGUAUCAACCGAGCCAGAGUAUGCAAGUUCUACAUUGUCACUGAGCAGUGGGUUCAGAAGACAGUUGAAAUGAAGAACAGACAAAAGGAGAAUGAUUACUCAUUGUAAUGAACUGGUCUGGAGCACCUUACCAACAGUUUGUGAUGCCUCUCCACUGUGUGAUGUCCUGUAAGCCAACACCUGAUUCACCAUAGUCACUGCACCACCGUCAUGCUUAGAAAAUGGUUGGAAGAUCCGUGUUUGUAUAUCUUGAGGUUUGCUAACCGACUCGAGUUUGGCGACAAAACUCACGAGGUAUCAAUGACGGCCUUGCGACUGGUACAGAGGAUGAAGAGGGAUUCGAUACAUACAGGUCGAAGACCGUCGGGACUUUGUGGCGCCGGCUAAUUGAGUUUGGAGAAACACCAUCAAGCUCACUGACAUUGGAUGAAUUCAUGACAGUAGAUUUGGAGGAAGAACAGGAUCCACCUUCGUUCAAAGCUGCCCGCAAGAAAGACAGAGAACGGUUACAAAAAGUAAGUUACGAGCCGGUGUUUUCAGUAAAGGUGAAAUUACUAUGACAAAACACGAAAUCACAGGCUUCUGGACUGAAUGCAGAUAAAGUGAAUUGAUGAUUAUAAGUGGUGGUGAGGAAUGAAGUAGCUCUGGCAUAUUAUGUGAGAUGGUGGAAUGGUGAGGCUGAGAAAACUAUUGUCAGUAAUGGAAAGAUUUUAAGCUGUUACCCUUAUGAAUAUAACCCGUGAAUGGGGACCGCUAAAUCACAACAUUUGAAUGAAAAUAAACUUUAUAAUAAGUAAAAGUAAGUUCAGACAGGAGAUCACUAAUUUAUUAUUUUUGUGUAAUUUGUCAGUUUCAAUCUUCAAGACGUGUAGUGAAAGACUGAUUUAAUUUAGCCAGCAGUCGAGUUAACCGUUCAGAGGUAAAGAGACACGCGUAAUUGAAAUUUUAAAUGAAUGUGAAGUUCUGAGAAGAAUUUCUAAUAUCUUUGUUCCUUCAAAUGCUUAAAUUAGUAGGAGAUUUGUAGAUACAUAAUUUUAUAAUUUUUGUCCACACCAAAGUUUCCUGUGCCUACCAGCAUAGACAGAAACAGAAAGCUAAAUAUAGAUUUAGUUUGGUUAUAAUAUUCGUUUGCUUUCACCAAUUCAGGAUUCUGCGUUAAAUACUGCCACAGGUACUUACAUCUCAGAAGUUCACAUAGCCACUAUGUUCGUGUUACUUUUCUUUUCGUGUCCAGUACACACCAUUCAGUACAUGGGUUCGAUCGGGACCGCGACAUUUAACGCUCCUGCUGUGACCCCCUUUUUGCGAGUGGAGUAAUUGU